rnacentral:lncRNA from 1 species
UUCACUCUUAUUUCAAAACUUCAACGAAAACCAUGAGCAAAAACGACUCCGGAUCCAAGCUAACAUAUCUCUUUGUUGAAGCAUUGAUGCACCUUCGCUUCAUUCACUGAAUCACAUUCUCUCACUCUCGUUUCAAAGGUUCAAAUGCUAUGAGUAAAUUCAAAUCCGUGAGAAUCCUCCUAAAAUCGAAUUCGCCGUUCAUCCUUACCAAAUCAAAUAUAUAUCGAAGCCUAGGUCUUCAGCCUUUUGUAAUCGGGACGAGUCGAAGCAUGAAUGUGUUCAAGAGAGUCAUUUCGAUAAGGUAACCAAGAGGCAGAAGAAAACUUGCUAAAUCGAUGCUCCGACGCGAUGGCUCUCCGGCGAUUGCACGUACUGAAUUCUCCUUCCCUUUUCCCUUUGCUCUUCUUCUUCUUCUCUGCAACCUUGAUGCUACGUGAGUGUUGAAGAGAGAAUGUUUUGAUGAGGAAUCAUAGAGGGCUUUGUGAGAAUUAAAGAGUGAAUGUGAUAUAAUUCAGUUGUGCAAUUACGGUUCUGUUAGAAUUAUGUUUUCACCAAGUUUUGUUAAUUGCAGUGGAACCCAAUUUUUGUUCUGUUAAAAAAUAUGCAGGUUGAAAUUGGUUUGAAUGUUACGUUAUACAUUUUCGUCUAGCUGCUUGGAAUAUAUGUUAUAAUCGUGCUGUUAGGGAAUUA